rnacentral:lncRNA from 1 species
AUGAGGAUGAAGAGGGUGAUCCGGAAGAGUCUUUUGAACUACUUGGCUGCGGUGUUUAAACAACCACCAGGAAAUUUUGAUGACCGUUCUCUCCGGAGCUCCUGUCUUUCCCCAGAGAAACAAAAGCAUCGAAACUACAAAAAUAAAGUGUUAUUUGGCUGGAAUGAGGUCUCAUGGUUGUUUAUGCGGUGGCUCGCUGCUCAAGACAGGGAAAUAGAAGUCAUCAAGAUGAACAGAAAGCAGAUGUCAGCAGCCCUCAUAUAAAGUCAUCAUACUUCAUCCAGUUAAAACCUGAGACAGUUCUCACACAAGAAGGCCUAACUCAAAGAGACUGGGUUCUCAUGAGGCAGGUUCAUGCAAAACCAAGGGAAGCUUACAACUUUGGGAUUCUCCAGUUUCCCUUGGAAAAGACCUACAAUCAUUUGCUUAAGUAAAUGAGCACUGGACAAAGGUGAGUAUUGUUAUCUUUCAGAAGCUCUUGGCCAUGAAGGUCUUGUUGGCAUAAAACCCAUGGUUUGGAAAGAUCACCAUGACCCCUGUUAGAGUAAUGGCCUAGGGCGAUGGUCAGGAAACUGAUGUAUUCCUUGCCAACUUCUGCCUCUAAGUGAGUGCACUCUGUUCAUGAACCUCUCUCCUCUAUAGUUAUGUUCCCAGGAUCUCAUGUACAAUCAGGAGUCAUAGACUUAGAAAAGGCAAAAAUACAGUGUUUCUGUGGCCUGUGAGAUAUGACUUAUAAUUCUAGGAAAAAAACAAUUGCAGAUGGGAAGCCUAAAUCUGUCAAUGCUCACCCAAGACAAUAUAAUCAAUAAAAAUCAGUAUCAACUCCCAAGGCAAAUUAUUUCCUGUAUAUAGAUGGCAGAGAUGAUCACCACCAUCAAAAACUCAAGGACCAGUGCUGUUGGUCUGGUCAUCUCUUUCAUGGAAUUCACCAGUCUGGUAUCUUCAAAAUCCAGAGGGAUGAUGGCAGAUGACAGGAAACUAAUGCGAACACCAUCAGUUGUACCUCCACUGUAGCAGCAGUAAUGGAUGUUAUCUCUUCAUUAUAAUAUCCAGGGAGAGGGAGAGGAUGAUAUUAUUCCCAAUACUCUAAACACCCUGAGUGUACAGCCUCUGUGAUAUUUUUUAUAAUAUCUGGUAGGGGGAGAAUUGUAUUACUCCUAAUAUCUCAGGGGACGUGCCCCUCUGUGAUAAUGUUCCUA